CUUAAGCUCCGCCACCGCCGUGGUCAUUCGAACUCAUCUCUGCCGCCGCCGUUCUCACUUGGGGUACAUUAUGCUUCCACUGGCUCCUCCUCAUCCUUGCCUUUUUUUUGUUCAAUUGCUCUAUUCCCCCUCAUUUCAGUCUCUCAAUUUACAUGAAUUGUGUUUGAAUUAUCUAAUUAUUGCUCUCUUGCUCUGUCCUCUCCUCUCUUCUCUCCCGCUGAAACUGUAAAUUAAUUAACCCUAAUUUUCAAUGUCGAAUUUUGGCUUAAAAGAACCUUAAAAAUGCUUUAAAUUUAUCUCUGAUUGUAUCCUACAAAUUUGGUGUUGGUUCAGGCUCGAGACUAAGAAACCUGAAAUUUUUGUUCAUGGGUUUUGCUUAGGUUUUAAACUAAAUUUAAGAUUUCACUGUAAUUCGUUCCUUGGUGUAACACGUUGUAUUUGGGUUUGUAGAUUCAAGAUUUGCUUGUCAACUUUUUGAACAUUGUGGUGAGUUUUGACACUGAUUUUGGUGGAAUUCGGGUUGUUUAUCGCUCUGGCGUUGGUGAGGCUCGUGGUGUCGAGCUUCGUAAUGUUAUGGAAGCCAUGGAUGUGCUAGGAAUACUUGAUUAUGGGCUUGCAAGGACCGCUGACUUAUUCAUCAAGCAUGUCAUUGCUCCUGCAGUGAAAUUUAACUCCCCUGUUUCGUUUCUGGAAGAAUCUAGUGGUAGCUUGGUCGAGAGCAGUGACAAAAUCUUGAAGAUAGUCUCAAGUCUAGAGCCGAAGACAGAUGACAUUGAUAGCGAUGCUCUAUUCUCAAGAAUGACGAUAGUUGUUAAGUUUAUCCACCAGUAUAUAUGUCUUGAAAAUGGUCCUUGGAUGCGUUGUUUCGGAAGGUUGCGUGGCCAAGAAUGUCUGAGCUUAUUAUUUCUAACUUCCUCUCAAAGGUUGUCCCUGAUGAUGCUUCAAAGUUAGUUGAUUUUCAGAAGAUCAUGAACUCUUCUUCUGAAUUUGAGAUUGUUUUACAGGAGAUUAUGUUCAUUUCCAAAUCUGAUAAGAAUGAUGAAAGAUUAAGCAACUUUGCUGAUAACGUGGAGGUACACUUUGCUGUGAGGAAAAAGAGAGAAAUGCUGGCAAAUGCUAGACAGUUGAUUCUACGAUGUGACUUUACUGUUCCAGAAGUCAACUCUCAUUCAACCUGUCUUAUAUCUUUGUGCUCAUCUGCUGGAAUUACGUACUAACAAUUAGCUCUCAGGAGUUUAGCAGCAAAGGACCUAAGUUCGGAAAUAACAGAUACACUGAUUGUGCUGUCAAUUUGCUAUUUUCGUCAGAGAAGUGUAUAGUGUCCCUUGCUGCUUGUCAGUUGAUGAAGUUGGUGCAUCAAACACUUCAAGAUGUUUGUUUGUCAUCCCCAAGAGUGGCGUUGGAAUUCUAUCAUGCUGCAAGGGAUGUUCUGUUGCUGUAUGAAGCUACCAUUCCAAUCAAGAGCUAUGGGGGGUUUUUGUGCUGUUACAUAUCUAAGUUUUGCCCACAAGGGUUAAAGCAAGUCCUUGUAACAGGCGGAAUUCCAUCAAUUAAGGAUGGAUGUAAUGCAGAUGCCGUAUAUCAUGCAUGCUUUGAAAAGAUUGUGCGACAAAAUGAGAAAUAUUAUGCGACAAAAUUAUAUACCGUAAUUCUUUAGUCUUCCCAAUUUCUUCUUUUCUUUGUUCGUUCCCUUAAUUCCUCUGUUUUACACAGGCUUGAGAGAGCCUGGGAUCUGUAGUGCAGCAGCUACCCCCAACUAAGCCCCCUGUGAGAAUGACAUAUGUCAGACGUAAGAGGAAGGAUAAAUCAGGAAUUACAACUUAAUGGUGUCAGCAUUCUGUUAGAAAAUACCGUGAGCAGCAAGUUGGUGAUUGUCACGCAUGAGAGAGGAGUUGUCAGAGCUAGCACUAUAAAUAAGGCAGGAGCCGUAAAAGAAUGUUAUGUGAUAUAUUCUGUCUUUUUCUUGUCCUUCUACCUCAGUUGUAUGCACCAUUGGUGAUUUAAUAGCUUCAAAUACAACUAUUUCUAUCCUAGCCUUAAUAUUAUUACCUUUGUUUCUGGGUACAGAUUUGCAUCCACUAAUUCCAUAACAAACUUGGAGUUGGUGGAAAAACCUGACUCCUUGGUAGGAGUUCGACCUGCUGUUUCUGGAGAUGGAACUGCGUUAGAAGUACUCAUUAAGUGGGAUAACCUGCCAGAUUAUGAGGCAACUUGGGAAGAUUUCCUUGCCGUCCAGACCAGAUUUCCGGCUUUUCACCUUGAGGACAAGGUGACUCUAUUAUUUACUUGUGGACAAGGGAGACAAAGUUCCCACAUGCUGUAUGGAAGGCUGGUCAUGGUCUAAUUGCUCUUCUUUUGUGAAACUUUGAUGUUGUUAAUAAUAUAUGGCUUGAGCCCUUUCCUGGGAGGUU